GGCCGGACGCGCGCCGGUUGCUGGAGCGGGGCGGAGGGCGCUGCGCUGGCCCCGCCCCAGCCCGUUCCCUGGGCCGCUUCCAACGCGUGGGAGCAGUCAGCCCUUCAGUGCAAAGCCAAACUUUUUUGGGAUAAAAGUCUUAGCACAGUCCGAAUGUGACUGCUCAGUGUUUGCAAUAAGAACCUCGAAAGAAGAAUAUCCCAGAAGUCUAGGGGAAAUAGUCGUGCUGGGUACUUCAAAAUAACACGUGAUUGGGUUCAGUUGUAUAAAUUACAACUUAAAGGCAAGUUGUGGUUACGUUUCAGUGCCUGCAACAGUUUAUAAACUUCCUAAACGAAGCAGCCUUGAAGAUCUUCUUUGCUCCUGCCUUCUGCCUUUCAGUUCCUUUUCUUUUUGCUAUUUAAAAUUCGCUGACUUAAACAACUGUUUCUACACUGGAAGCACAGAUGCUUGUUCUUAUGCCAAGGGAGCUCAUAAUCAUCCCAGCAUUUGUAGAAAUCAAAUCAGACUCUGCACUGAAUCUUUUCCAUCUGUUGGUGGGGGGGCAAUCUAGAUGACAAAGUAAAGCCAGGACUACUGAAGACCCCAAAUUGCACAAGGGAAUACAGACGUAAAGAGAGAUUAUAAAGAGCUGUGUAAAAUCAGAUACAAAAGUUUGUAUAUUAGAAAGAAAAAUAAACCUGUGGUCAGGAACAUGGAUUGAAGCCAAGCCUAGAAGACAUAGGGGCAUCUUCCAAACUGUGGAGACAAGAAACACAGCUCUGUGUAGGCUGGAGGGAGAAGUGGGCAGCAGGAAGGACUAUUGAAAGGAGGGAGCCGAGCAGGCACAGAAGGAAGCUACACUGAGAUUGAAAGCUGCAGUAAAAGUUUCAAGCAAGACCAGCCAUGUCCCUGAACAUGAGAAGGUGUUUUGACCAUGGCUUCAGGAAUGGAACUCAUACGCCUGCACACUGCUCGUCUAGGGAGUGCUUGGCUGUGCUUACCUGUAUUAGGAUUGUUUCUGACAUCCUCCCACACCAAGAUUUUAUCUUCCUCUUGAAAUAAUAAAACAGCUAGGGAAUGUUUGAAUUCAUGA